AACUGAAGGAGGAGCCGGACAGAGAAGCCAGGGCAGGCGUGCAGGCUGACGAGGACGAAGAUGGAGACGAGAAAGAUGAGAAGAAGCACAGAAGUCAACCCAAAGAUCUAGCUGCCAAACGGAGGCCCGAAGAAAAAGAACCUGAAAAAGUAAAUCCACAGAUUUCUGAUGAAAAAGACGAGGAUGAAAAGGAGGAGAAGAGACGCAAAACGACCCCCAAAGAACCGUAAGAAUUUAUUCUUGACAUUAUCGAAAGCAGAUGGUAAUGUUAAAAUGAUGGUUCUAGAACAAAAGGGAAGGGGUUUCAGUAAUUGCCAGAGCAACCUUAGGCUCAUUUUGGAUCGGGUUGGUGAACAUAGGACCAAGGUGCGUCAGGCAGGAUGCCCCUGCGGUGAAGAGCCACUGUGACCACGCGCCUGGGCCUCACUGCCACAGCCGGUGCCUCCCUGUGCCACAGGCACCUCAGGCAGAAACCUCACAGGGGCGAUUUUGAUAUUUUCUGAAACAAUUAAACAAACGAUCUUGUGAUUUUUUUUUUUCCCCCAGAACGGAGAAAAAAAUGGCUCGCGCCAAAACAGUCAUGAACUCCAAGACCCACCCUCC
rnacentral:lncRNA from 1 species